UUCGGUGGCGAUGGCAAAGGUGUCACACCCGUAUCCAUCCCGAACACGGCAGUUAAGCCCUUUAGCGCCGAUGGUACUGCACGGGAGUCUGUGUGGGAGAGUAGGACGCCGCCGGAU
rnacentral:rRNA from 1 species